AUCCAGUUGACGAGUCCAAAAUAGGACGAAACGCACGUUCUGGAU
rnacentral:hammerhead_ribozyme from 1 species